UGCGGCGGACGGGUGACGUAAGCGCGUGGGUUACCGUGCCCUAUACACACGGAUAACAUAUCGAAAGAUAUGCUAAUACGAGAUAAUACAUUUUUAAGGCAUCUUAGAAAUGUCAAAGAUUUUAUCGGUGUAGGAUGGACCCGCGUCCCAUUAGCUAGUUGGUGAGGUAAAAGCUCACCAAGGCGACGAUGGGUAGCCGACCUGAGAGGGUGAUCGGCCACACUGGAACUGAGACACGGUCCAGACUCCUACGGGAGGCAGCAGUGGGGAAUAUUGCACAAUGGGGGAAACCCUGAUGCAGCAACGCCGCGUGAGCGAUGAAGGCCUUCGGGUCGUAAAGCUCUGUCCUAAGGGAAGAUAAUGACGGUACCUUAGGAGGAAGCCCCGGCUAACUACGUGCCAGCAGCCGCGGUAAUACGUAGGGGGCAAUCGUUAUCCGGAAUAACUGGGCGUAAAGGGUGCGUAGGCGGCCCUGCAAGUCAGAAGUGAAAGGCUACGGCUCAACCGUAGUAAGCUUUUGAAACUGUUAGGGCUUGAGUGC
rnacentral:rRNA from 1 species